rnacentral:rRNA from 1 species
AGUGAACGCUGGCGGUAGGCCUAACACAUGCAAGUCGAACGGCAGCACAGUAAGAGCUUGCUCUUACGGGUGGCGAGUGGCGGACGGGUGAGGAAUACAUCGGAAUCUACUUUUUCGUGGGGGAUAACGUAGGGAAACUUACGCUAAUACCGCAUACGACCUACGGGUGAAAGCAGGGGAUCUUCGGACCUUGCGCGAUUGAAUGAGCCGAUGUCGGAUUAGCUAGUUGGCGGGGUAAAGGCCCACCAAGGCGACGAUCCGUAGCUGGUCUGAGAGGAUGAUCGGCCACACUGGACUGAGAACACGUUCCGGACUCCACCGGGAGCCAGCGUGGGGGAAUAUGGGACAAGGGGCGCAAGCCGGUUCCAGCAUAACGGCGUGGUGGAAGAGGGCCUCCGGUUGUAAAAGCCCUUUGUUUGGGAAGGAAAGGCGGCGGUUUAUGACCCCGCUGUUUGAAGGUAACCCAAGAAAAAGGCACGGGCAACCUGCGU